rnacentral:rRNA from 1 species
CCCAGACAGCCAGGAUGUUGGCUUAGAAGCAGCCAUCAUUUAAAGAAAGCGUAAUAGCUCACUGGUCGAGUCGGCCUGCGCGGAAGAUGUAACGGGGCUAAACCAUGCACCGAAGCUGCGGCAGCGAACGUAUCACCCAAGACAACUUUACGGAGUUGACGAUUGACGGAGCGAAGCGACGUCAAAGCGUUCAUUAAAGUCGAGUUGGCUUAGGGAUACGUUCGUUGGGUAGGGGAGCGUUCUGUAAGCCUGUGAAGGUGGCCUGUGAGGGUUGCUGGAGGUAUCAGAAGUGCGAAUGCUGACAUAAGUAACGAUAAAGCGGGUGAAAAGCCCGCUCGCCGGAAGACCAAGGGUUCCUGUCCAACGUUAAUCGGGGCAGGGUGAGUCGACCCCUAAGGCGAGGCCGAAAGGCGUAGUCGAUGGGAAACGGGUUAAUAUUCCCGUACUUGGUGUUACUGCGAAGGGGGGACGGAGAAGGCUAUGUUGGCCGGGCGACGGUUGUCCCGGUUUAAGCGUGUAGGUGUGUGUUCCAGGUAAAUCCGGUUCACUUUAACACUGAGGCGUGAUGACGAGGCACUACGGUGCUGAAGCAACAAAUGCCCUGCUUCCAGGAAAAGCCUCUAAGCAUCAGGUAACAUCAAAUCGUACCCCAAACCGACACAGGUGGUCAGGUAGAGAAUACCAAGGCGCUUGA